UACAGAGACUGCAAGCGUUAUUCGGAUUCACUGGGCGUAAAGGGUGCGCAGGCGGCCAAGUGUGUUAGGCGUGAAAGCCCGGGGCUUAACCUCGGAAUUGCACCUAAAACUACUUGGCUAGAGCAUUGGAGAGGGUAGCGGAAUUCACGGUGUAGCAGUGAAAUGCGUAGAUAUCUGGAGGAACACCGGUGGCGAAGGCGGCAUCCUGGACCGGUAUUGACGCUGAGGCGCGAAAGCCAGGGGAGCAAACGGG
rnacentral:rRNA from 1 species